AUUAAUUUAUAUUUUUCAGGAUCUCGAACUGUGUGAGGCCGCAGGUGGUAGCCCCUGACUCCCCGACAAAAGUUUCUCCGAAACGGGCUUCUAAUGAAAAUUCCCAACAGUCCAAAUCUGGAGAUUCUCCAACCUCUAAAAGCUUGAAUACAUCGAAUUCUUCUUCAAAUAGUAAAAACUACAAGAAAUAACAUCGAUUCUGAAACGGCGCGGGAGUCCCAAUGAGAGUAGUACAGCUUUUCCAUCAGGGUUAUCACAACAGUGUGACACUACAUCAGAAGGCAGCAGUGUAAUCAGUGGUGGUGGCGGCGGGGGCGGAGAUGAGAUGGGGGUGGUGCCGCCCCCAUUGUGGGCAGGCGAGCCGAGCGGGCGCGGGGGCGGGGCCAGCCAGUGCCAGCGACAGCCAAUCACGGCGCAGCGAUUCUGAUGACGAUCUCUCAGAUUCUGAUUGGGCGCCUUACAUGGAUCACAGGAGAAUGUACGGAGUCGAGCUCUGGAUAUGGUUGACCUUGGCAAGACACUUCUUUCGGAUGUCAGCUACACGCUACCCUCUCA